AUAAUUGUCAUAUGAAGAAUAUAUAACAUUUUGAUUAGUAAAAUAUUUUAUAUCAAAUUAAGGUUAUACACAUUAUUAUACCAAUUUUCGUCUGCUCGUGCAAUUGUUAUCCGAUGUACAUCGUAUGAUAUUGCUAAAGAAUUAUUAAAACUAUUAAAAAGUUAUGUAACAUAAUACUAAUGUAGCUAGUGUCAAUACAUACAAUCACAACAUUGGAAAUAGUAACAGUAUAUAUUAUCGUAGUAUAUAUGUAUCGGAACUAAAUAAACAAUAGAAAAAAAUAUAGAGGUUAAUCCUAACUUCAAUAUCAAAAAUCAAAUACUUAUCCGGACAAAAAUGAUCACACUGUCUCUCAUUAUCCAUUAUACUACAGAAGAAGUACAAAGGUAAUUACACAAAAUAAAUUCCUAAGAAUGUAACGUAAAGGAAAAAGGAGAUAACCUUUCCAAAUUGAUUUGAUCUAUUAUCAGAUGAAAGUGGAUCAAAAGUGAAAAUGGACACUGAAAUCGAUCCACAAAAAAAACUUUAAAACAAAAUCAUUCAACAAAAUAUAAGUGAACAAAAAUAUAGAUCAAAGCUAGAAACAGAAGUUACAAAGAGGUUAAACUAAUUUGUAUGGUAAUAUAAAAACUUACGUCAAGCUAUAUGUUAAACUCGCUAACUCAAGACAAGUUUUAUAUAAAAUACGAUCUGAGAGAAAUAGAAAUUUUCAUAAUAGAGAUUUCAAUAUGCUAAAGAAAUAUUUUCAAGAUAAAGAUGUAAGAUUUCAUACCUACAUCGAAAGAUCACAAAAAUAGAAAACUUUUGCAAUCAAAGGUAACACAACUACAUUCAGAAUUGAAUUUAUCCUAUUUUAUUGAAUGCUAAACUAUUACUAUGUUGAAUGUAGUAAAUGUUAACAAUUGUUAUGUCAAAUAAUUACCUACAUCUUUUUAUAAAUCACAACUUAGACACAAUGUCUUUAUCAAGAACUUGACAAAAAAUAGAAGAUAUAAUUGGCCUUUUAAAAUUAUUAGAUAGUAUGGACAGAAAGCAAAUUUUUUUUUUAUAUGAAUAUAAAGCUAUAGAAAUAACUUGUAAGUCAUGUAUUUGAACAAGAUAUAGUGAAUGAAUGCACAGUGCCAUAUUAGUUUGAAAAAUUUCAAAAUGGAGAUACGAGUCUUGAAAAUGAACAAGAUCAUGGACUGCCUUCUGUUCUUAAUAACGAUGAAUUGAAAACAUUUGUUGAAGCUGAUUCAUGCACAAUAGCUCAAUAACUUGCACAUGAGGUAGAUGUAAUUGUCGCCAACUAUUAUUCAUCACCUGAGACAUAUAGGAAAGUCGAAGAAGCUAGACAAAUGGAUAUCUCAUGAAUUAAGCAAAGAUCAAAAAAAUUGUCAUUAUGAGAUGAGUUUUGCAUUUCUUUUAUGUAAUAAAAAUGAACAAUUUUUUCA